rnacentral:tRNA from 2 species
GAUCCCGUAGCUCAUUUUGGAUAGAGCGUCUGCCUCCUAAGCAGAAGGUGGCGAGUUCGAACCCCGCCGGGGUCA